UACAGAGGUCUCAAGCGUUGUUCGGAUUCAUUGGGCGUAAAGGGUGUGUAGGCGGCUUUCUAAGUCAGGGGUGAAAUCCUGGAGCUCAACUCCAGAACUGCCUUUGAUACUGGAGAGCUUGAGUCCGGAAGAGGUGAGUGGAACUCCGAGUGUAGAGGUGAAAUUCGUAGAUAUUCGGAAGAACACCAGUGGCGAAGGCGGCUCACUGGUCCGGUACUGACGCUGAUGUGCGAAAGCGUGGGGAGCAAACAGG
rnacentral:rRNA from 1 species